rnacentral:rRNA from 1 species
AGUGAACGCUGGCGGCAGGCCUAAUACAUGCAAGUCGAACGGCAGCACAGCAGAGCUUGCUCUGUGGGUGGCGAGUGGCGGACGGGUGAGGAAUACGUGGGAAUCUGCCCAGUCGUGGGGAUAACGUAGGGAAACUUACGCUAAUACCGCAUGCGCCCUUCGGGGAAAGCCGGGGACCUUCGGGCCUGGCGCGAUUGGAUGAGCCCACGUCGGAUUAGCUAGUUGGCGGGGUAAAGGCCCACCAAGGCGACGAUCCGUAGCUGGUCUGAGAGGAUGAUCAGCCACACUGGAACUGAGACACGGUCCAGACUCCUACGGGAGGCAGCAGUAGGGAUAUUGGACAAUGGGCGCAAGCCUGAUCCAGCCAUGCCGCGUGAGUGAAGAAGGCCCUCGGGUUGUAAAGCUCUUUUGUCCGG